CGGAAGUAAACAAAAGACACCGGUGCAUCUCCACUAACGGUCUGACAGGUGAUGGAGAACAGAUGACAACUCAGGACUCAACAUUAUGAACAACUGGAAAUAGGAACAAGGACCUCAGGAACCCUCACCUGAAAUCAGCCAACGAGAAUUGCUAACCUGAACAGCAGCUCAGAAUGCAGCCUCCUCAGACCGGCUGUGUCCACUUGGAGAAACGUUUAACGGGCACAAAAUCUCCUGCUGCUGAAGUUAUACGCAGGCCUGUACAGCCCAGAAGCCCAUGUAA